rnacentral:rRNA from 1 species
AGCGAACGCUGGCGGCAUGCCUAACACAUGCAAGUCGCACGGGGGGGCUUCGGCCUCCCAGUGGCGGACGGGUGAGGAACGCGUAGGGACCUGUCGAGGGGUGAGGGAUAACCGCGGGAAACUGCGGCUAAUACCGCAUGACGCCGCGGCGUGACAGCCGGGGCCAAAGGCGAAAGCCGCCCGCCGAGGGGCCUGCGUCCGAUUAGCUGGUUGGCGGGGUAGCGGCCCACCAAGGCGUCGAUCGGUAGCUGGUCUGAGAGGGUGAUCAGCCACACCGGGACUGAGACACGGCCCGGACUCCUACGGGAGGCAGCAGUGGGGAAUAUUGGACAAUGGGCGCAAGCCUGAUCCAGCAAUGCCGCGUGGGUGAAGAAGGUCUUCGGAUUGUAAAGCCCUUUCGGCGGGGACGAUGGUGACGGUACCCGCAGAAGAAGCCCCGGCUAACUUCGUG